rnacentral:rRNA from 1 species
ACUAGCCCGCGCCUCGAUGCACGGGUCGGGCGUGUCGACGUCCGCGGACGGCGUGCACUUCUCUCUCAGUAUACAUCGCGACCCGUUCGCGGUCUAAGCGCGGUCCGCGGGAGCCGGACGGCCGGACGGUAGUUGUCGAAUCGCGCACGCGCCUCCGCGCGUCAGGCCCGACGCAAGCGGCGUCGUCCUGCCUAUGCGCGGACGCGGGCGCGUCGCCGCUGCCRUCGCAGCCGCAGUCUCUCUGACCGUGCGCGUUUCAGUCUGCGAUGUUUCAGUUUCGGGCACUCGCAGGACCCGUCUUGAAACACGGACCAAGGAGUCUAGCAUGUGUGCGAGUCAUUGAGUUAAAACUGAGAGGCGCAACGAAAGUGAAGGCGCGCGCCGCGCGCUCAGGGGGGAUGGAGGGACGCGCUCUCGCACCCCCGAGGCGUCUCGUUUCCAAUCCGUGAAUGCAGGCGCGCUCUGAGCACAGAUGCUGGGACCCGAAAGAUGGUGAACUAUGCCUGGUCAGGUCGAAGUCAGGGGAAACCCUGAUGGAGGACC